UAAGGUGAAACCGCGAAAGGCUCAUUAAAUCAGUUAUGGUUCCUUAGAUCGUACCCACAAUUACUUGGAUAACUGUGGUAAUUCUAGAGCUAAUACAUGCAAACAGAGCUCCGACCGGAGACGGAAGGAGUGCUUUUAUUAGAUCAAAACCAAUCGGUGGCGGGUUCGCCCGUUAUCGUACAACUUGGUGACUCUGAAUAACUUUACGCUGAUCGCACGGUCAUCGCACCGGCGACGCGUCUUUCAAAUGUCUGCCUUAUCAACUGUCGAUGGUAGGUUCUGCGCCUACCAUGGUUGUAACGGGUAACGGGGAAUCAGGGUUCGAUUCCGGAGAGGGAGCCUGAGAAACGGCUACCACAUCCAAGGAAGGCAGCAGGCGCGCAAAUUACCCACUCCCGGCACGGGGAGGUAGUGACGAAAAAUAACGAUACGGGACUCAUCCGAGGCCCCGUAAUCGGAAUGAGUACACUCUAAACCCUUUAACGAGGAUCAAUUGGAGGGCAAGUCUGGUGCC
rnacentral:rRNA from 1 species